rnacentral:rRNA from 1 species
CAGGUCUUGACAUCCUCUGACAAUCCUAGAGAUAGGACGUUCCCCUUCGGGGGACAGAGUGACAGGUGGUGCAUGGUUGUCGUCAGCUCGUGUCGUGAGAUGUUGGGUUAAGUCCCGCAACGAGCGCAACCCUUGUCCUUAGUUGCCAGCAUUCAGUUGGGCACUCUAAGGAGACUGCCGGUGACAAACCGGAGGAAGGUGGGGAUGACGUCAAAUCAUCAUGCCCCUUAUGACCUGGGCUACACACGUGCUACAAUGGAUGGUACAAAGGGUUGCGAGACCGCGAGGUUUAGCCAAUCCCAUAAAACCAUUCUCAGUUCGGAUUGUAGGCUGCAACUCGCCUACAUGAAGCCGGAAUCGCUAGUAAUCGUGGAUCAGCAUGCCACGGUGAAUACGUUCCC